GCAUAUCAAUAAGCGGAGGAAAAGAAACCAACAGGGAUUGCCUCAGUAACGGCGAGUGAAGCGGCAAGAGCUCAAAUUUGAAAUCUGGCUCCUUCGGGGCCCGAGUUGUAAUUUGGAGAGGAUGCUUCGGGCGUGGCCCCCAUCUAAGUGCCCUGGAACGGGCCGUCAUAGAGGGUGAGAAUCCCGUCUGGGAUGGGUGGUCCCGCCCGUGUGAAGCUCCUUCGAAGAGUCGAGUUGUUUGGGAAUGCAGCUCUAAGAGGGUGGUAAAUUUCAUCUAAAGCUAAAUAUUGGCCGGAGACCGAUAGCGCACAAGUAGAGUGAUCGAAAGAUGAAAAGCACUUUGAAAAGAGAGUUAAACAGCACGUGAAAUUGUUGAAAGGGAAGCGUUGGCAACCAGACUCGCCCGGGGGGGCUCAGCCGGCACGUGUGCCGGUGCACUCCCCCCCGGGCGGGCCAGCGUCGGUUUGGGCGGUCGGUCAAAGGCCCCGGGAAUGUAGCACCCUCCGGGGUGCCUUAUAGCCCGAGGCGCCAUGCGACCUGCCCGGACCGAGGAACGCGCUCCGGCUCGGACGCUGGCGUAAUGGUUGUCAACGGCCCGUCUUGAAACACGGACCAAGGAGUCUAACAUCUAUGCGAGUGUUCGGGUGUCAAACCCGUCCGCGCAGUGAAAGCGAACGGAGGUGGGAACCCUCUCGGGGGUGCACCAUCGACCGAUCCUGAUGUCUUCGGAUGGAUUUGAGUAAGAGCAUAGCUGUUGGGACCCGAAAGAUGGUGAACUAUGCCUGAAUAGGGCGAAGCCAGAGGAAACUCUGGUGGAGGCUCGCAGCGGUUCUGACGUGCAAAUCGAUCGUCAAAUUUGGGUAUAGGGGGCGAAAGACUAAUCGAACCAUCUGGUAGCUGGUUCUGUG
rnacentral:rRNA from 1 species